GAGAAGAUCUGCUCUUGUCAUUGCUAACUGCUGGAGAUGAACUGCCGUACCAAUCAGCAGUUGAUCUGUUAUCUGUGUAUGAUGAGUGAACAUAAAGUCCAUGAUACAGUCUCAAUGGAAUUAGAGAGGACUGAGAGACAGGAAGCAGGGGUAGAAACAGCAGAAAUCUAAACAGAAAACCCAGAAGACAGAAAGAGAUGCAGGAGGUAAUACAGGCUGUGAAGUCGCUCAAGCGAUCAGGACAGGAAGCAGUGGAGGACAGUGAGAGCAUCUUUACUGAGCUGAACCGCUCUGAAGUGAAGGAGCUGAUCGGAGCCCAUGAGAAGGCCCCUGAUGAAAAAAACAGCAUAGACCAGUAUACAAUUGAAGCUGGUCCAGGCUGGUCAAUGUCAGUCCAUGCUGGUCUAUGCUGGUUAGUGCUGGUCAAGCUGGUCUGACCAGCAUGGUCUAUCUGGUUAUGCUGGCAGAUCAGCCUUCGUUGUGUUUUUGGAGGUGACCAGCCAUCAUUGUGUUUUUGCUGGUGACCAGCCUUCGCUGUGUUUUGGACACUGGUGAGCAGCAUACACUAAAGCAAAACCAGCAUCAAGUCACAUUAUGCUGGCAUGUAAAAUUAUGUUUAAUUCCUAUUGGAAUCCAGCCAGAGUGGAUUCCCACAAUCUGCAUUCAGAAUGACUGCCAGGGUUAUAGUGAUGUGCAGUUCACGAACAAAUCGCUCUUUUUGAACGACUAUUUUUACUGACUCGAGAGUAAUGAUUCGUUUUUCUGAGUGACUCGUUCAAAAUAGUUGUUUUGUUUUAUCUGCUGUUAGUGCUGGCCGCAAUGCGUCCUACAGCAGGAUUAAUACAUGCUCCUCUGGCUCAGCAGCUCCAGAGUCAUGCACCGACCACCAACUGUCUGUCAUAUGCGCGCAGGAAAAUAGAUCAUGAGCAUAGAGAAGAAAAAGACAUGUUUAGAAUGGACAAUUGAUCGCAUGGUGCAAAAAUGACUGCUAUUAAUUUCUUAUUGAAUGUUAUGAUGGACACAGAUUUGUAGAAACAAAACAUACACAGCCUCUGCUCAACAAAUUCGAACUCGAGAGACGAGUUCACGAACGACUGUGCUUAUCAUCCUAAUGGCAUUCAAGCAAUGCAUUCUGCCAAGAGUUGUUCACAAUCUAGUCCGAUUGAGGCCACAACUAGACCUCGUUUCAAAUGUAUCAAGAAAUAAUCGUAUUUAUAUGCGUAGCAAUCAGCACAAGUUUACAAGCACACAUUUACAAGUAUCAGUCACAAAUGACAGCUCCAAUAAGCCCCAUUGUGAGGCCAAUUUUUCUUAAAGGUA